UACGGGGGGGGCAAGCGUUGUUCGGAAUUACUGGGCGUAAAGGGCUCGUAGGCGGCCAACUAAGUCGGACGUGAAAUCCCCAGGCUCAACCUGGGAACUGCGUCCGAUACUGGAUGGCUUGAAUCCGGGAGAGGGAUGCAGAAUUCCAGGUGUAGCGGUGAAAUGCGUAGAUAUCUGGAGGAAUACCGGUGGCGAAGGCGGCAUCCUGGACCGGCAUUGACGCUGAGGCGCGAAAGCUAGGGGAGCAAACGGG
rnacentral:rRNA from 1 species